UUAGUACUUGUAAGUUCUAACUAACUAAAGAGAAAAGGAAACCUACUUUAUAAAUCACUUCAGUUUAACUGAAGGAAAGAUGUAACACUGUAGUCAAAUGUACUGUAGUCAAAUGUAUAGAUAAAGCAAACAAAAAAAUAUCAAACCUUGGUGUGUAGGAAAUAGAAAAGAGGGUUGGAGUGUAGAUGGCAUGGGAGGCCAUAGCCAAGACUCUAAGAUGCAUGCAGAUGGUGAAGGACUAGAAAUGGUGACCAGAGGGGGGGUUGAAUGGGAGCCUCAAAUUUCUUUCAAAAUAUUUACCCACUAUCCCAUGUUCAAAUCCCAAAAGUAACACACACAAGCCUCACAUAAAAGCGUAAGAUCCACGACUUACAAGUAGCUAGAUACCUCAGGCAAAGUCUAACUACACUGGAGAACACUCAGAAACCAAAGAAAAUGAACCCCCAAAGAGCAAACCCAAACUAAACUCACUAUAGUUUACCGAACUGUCUGGGGUCCAGUGGCAGACUGUCCACGGCUCAAGGGUCGGACUAUCUAAGACAACUUGUCAGACUGUCCACUGACACUAACCGGAAAAUAGGACAGCAUGCAAUAGUCCUUGCACUACUCAGAUAGAACUACAAUAGAAUAUUUGUGCUUGGUGCCAGACUAUUCGUUGUUCAAAAUUCGAGAAACACACCGAGAAAUACAAGUUCUAGACAUACUGAACCAUGAUCAGCAAACUAUCCAUGCCUUGGUGGUAGAUUGUCCAUGACUGGGGUAUUGAACAGAGCUGAAGCUCCUCUAUGCUCACCUCUGAUUCAGAACUAUCUGAGGUUUGGACCUGGACUGUCCAGGACUCGCAUAACAGAGACAAAAAUAGUCCCAUAAAAACACCUCCUCUCUUGACCUUCUCGAUUUACAGCCGAAUCAGCAUCAACUGCCACCAAACUUGUAACACAAGAUCACAAGGUAGUAGGGGAGUUAUCACUAAGAGAUCAUCACUUAAUUUGAAGCCAAUCAAUAGGAAGUCAAAGGGGAACAAAAAACUCAAGAACUCAAGCCCUAGACCAUGAUUCGACUCAAUCUGUGAUCUCAUGAGAAAUUUGUUGAUUUUCUUCAGUGGAAAGACUCAACUCCCAUCAUAGAUCAAUCCCACACAAAAAGAACUGUUCAAAAUGAUCUCAAAACUAUGAAUCAAACCUCCAAAGAAAAGGGGCAAAGGGGAACUCAGGAAGAACCUAAAGAACACGAUUCACAAAGUGAAUCCCAUAGGACAAGGUGGUUAGGGCCACCUUUCCUACUACAAAGACAUGAUUCUUACACAAAUAUAUGAAUUUGUUGACCUCUCUCACUCAACAGCUCUAAGGGAAGGGGAAACCCAAAGAGGAUGAU
rnacentral:lncRNA from 1 species